ACUAAUUGGUUGUUAAAUUGUUUAUUAUAUAUUCUUCAGGUUGUACAAAAAGGCAUAGGUCAUUCUAUUAACAACGUCACUACUGCUCUUGAUGAAGGACACCCACAAACAAUUCAAAAUAUAUCAUCAAAAGAAUUUUGAGAUUGAGCAUCUAGAAAGUGAGUUACAACCAUCCUUUUGCACUUGGAAGAAAAAUGAUGUAAAGCUAGAUGUAGUGAAGGUUAUGAACAAUUCAAAGUUGAAGAAGAAGUUGUAAAAUUGUUGGUUUUAGUUGUUGAUUAUGUAUGAUGUUUAUGGAUAAAUUGUAAUAGUGAAAAAGGAAGACCAUAUUUGAUACUUUUUGUCAAUGGAGAUUCUUAAAUUAAGUUUUCA